GUCAUGGAAGACACAUCAUACAUUAGUAUAUAGCAUUGUCAUUUGAUUCUUCAUUGUAUACCAAUGUCUACCUCUUCAAUAAACGGCUUUAGUCUUUCUUCUUUGUCCCCUGCCAAAACUUCUAUCAAAAGAACUACAUUGAGACCCUUGGUUUUUGCAUCUCUUAACUCUUCUUCUUCAUCUUCUUCUUCCUCGACUUUCCCUUCUCUUAUUCAAGACAAGCCGGUUUUCGCUUCAUCGUCUCCUAUCAUCACCCCAGUUUUGAGAGAAGAAAUGGGAAAGGGCUAUGAAGAAGCUAUUGAAGAGCUCCAAAAAUUGUUGAGGGAGAAGACUGAUCUGAAAGCCACAGCAGCUGAGAAGGUUGAGCAAAUCACAGCUCAAUUGGGAACAACAUCAUCCUCCGAUGGCAUUCCAAAAUCUGAAGCCUCAGAAAGGAUCAAAACUGGUUUCCUUCACUUCAAGAAAGAGAAAUAUGACAAGAAUCCAGCUUUGUAUGGUGAACUUGCCAAAGGCCAGGCCCCUCCGUAUAUGGUGUUUGCAUGCUCAGACUCAAGAGUCUGCCCAUCUCAUGUGCUAGAUUUCCAGCCAGGAGAAGCCUUUGUGGUCAGAAAUGUUGCUAACUUGGUCCCACCAUAUGACCAGGCAAAAUUUGCUGGAACUGGUGCUGCAAUUGAGUAUGCAGUUCUGCAUCUCAAGGUUUCCAACAUUGUUGUCAUUGGACACAGUGCUUGUGGUGGUAUUAAGGGACUUUUGUCCUUUCCAUUUGAUGGAAACUACUCCACUGAUUUCAUUGAGGAGUGGGUCAAAAUUGGUUUACCUGCAAAGGCAAAGGUGAAAUCACAACAUGGAGAUGCACCUUUUGGAGAGCUAUGCACACACUGUGAGAAGGAAGCUGUGAAUGUUUCCCUUGGAAACCUUCUCACCUACCCAUUUGUGAGAGAGGGAUUGGUGAACAAGACAUUGGCACUCAAGGGAGGAUACUAUGACUUUGUGAAAGGAUCUUUUGAGCUUUGGGGACUUGAAUUUGGCCUUUCAUCCACUUUCUCCGUAUGAACAUCAACCAUAUAUCAAUGACCACAUCUUGAUUACUAAGUAUUCUUCUCCCUAAAAUGUCAAAGAUGUGGCCGCGAUUCUACAUUGGAAGCUAUAAUCUCGAGGUUAAAGGUCGUGUGUCUGCAAUGAAGAAGCCUGUCUAUUUUCAUCAUAUGAUAUUUUAUAUAUAUGAGAAUCUAUGAACUUGUAUUAUGUAUAAUAUAUGAUGUAUCUCGUCUUAAAUAAGAGUUUCGAAUUCCUGUUGAGGCAAAAA